UGGGGGGGGGGAAGAUGGAGCUAUCUGAAGUUCUAAGUGUGAGAGGAUAUCCCUCUAUUACACCGUUCUGGUUUAUUACAAACCAAAAAGUUUUAAAAAUGUAUUUACGAGCUUGCUACUCAACGAUGGAACAAGGAACUGUAAACCAGAGGUCUUAUGUGACUGUCACCGCUGGAGGAAGACAGGGUGCUGGACUGCGACAAAGAAGAGCAUUUCAGUGGCCACUUGCCAUAUUUUCUCUUUUGCUGGAUGUCAGGCCUUGUAAAGCAUCUUCAAUCUGGAUGGGAAUUAUCUCGGAUGGGAACCAAAAGACGCUUCAAAGAAAACUUUUCUCACAGCCUCAAAUUUCUCAGGUGGCAUCCAGUGGAAAGAGAAAGCGCUGUGAGGUGUGUGUUGCACUCAAGGACACAAAGACACAAACCACAUGCAGAAACUGCCAAAAGUACAUCUGUGGGGCACAUACUGUCAAAUUUUGUGAACAAUGUGUUUUUCUGCAUAUCCUUACAUAAAGUGGUUGAUUGUUAAUGUCAAGUUAAUAAAUUAUACAAUAAAUCUCAAACAUUG